rnacentral:rRNA from 1 species
UACGUAGGGCGCAAGCGUUAAUCGGAAUUACUGGGCGUAAAGCGUGCGCAGGCGGUCCGCUAAGACAGAUGUGAAAUCCCCGGGCUUAACCUGGGAACUGCAUUUGUGACUGGCGGGCUAGAGUAUGGCAGAGGGGGGUAGAAUUCCACGUGUAGCAGUGAAAUGCGUAGAGAUGUGGAGGAAUACCGAUGGCGAAGGCAGCCCCCUGGGCCAAUACUGACGCUCAUGCACGAAAGCGUGGGGAGCAAACAGG